AUCACUUCUUGGCCUUUUGGCUAAGAUCAAGUAUAGUAUCUAUUCUUAUCAGUUUAAUAAAAUUGAAAACUUUCUUAAAUAAUUUAUGAUUCAGAUAUUACUUUUGCAUCUUAUUUUAUCUGACAUGCUCUCCAGAAUAACUGUUCUCCCUGAACUGGACACAUGCUAU
rnacentral:snRNA from 1 species